CGUUGAAGUGGAGGGCCAAUCUCUAGACAGUCAUUCAGUGACGGACUAUCUUCGUUAACCUUUGCGGAGGCGUCGUAGACGAUACGAACUUUUGUUGAUUCAGCUUGUUCCCGAACGACAGGUUUAUGUGGAAUGUAAUGUUCGUGCUUCUCGUUUGGUUCUGUUGGUGCGAUCUCUACAAUUCCCUGUUCCACUUGGUCUUCGAUGAUUUGAUGGUAUGUCUCAAGUAAGGCAGGUUGUUUAUCCAGUCGCUUCAGUAGUGACUGAAAUCUCGGUCGCGCAACGUUGAGGUUGGUUGGUAAAUUGGGAUGGCUAGCUUUCCAUGGUAGUGCUGUCUCGUAUUUUCCAUCUUCUCUCCAAGUUAACUGUUCUUUGAACUCCUCAAGCACGGUUGUUUGAUCACCUUCAGGUCGAUCCUUGAGCCCCAGAACAUCUAAACUACAAAGUUCCAUGUAGUCUUCAUGUGUACUUCUCGUUAACAUUAAAUAUGAGUGAUUCAUUUCCCGUCCCUGCGACAUGAUUGUC